rnacentral:ncRNA from 1 species
AGGAGGACAGAUUUGACUGCUUGCAACCUCCACCUUAAAAAAUGCUAAAAU